rnacentral:rRNA from 1 species
UUGCCAUAUCAAUAAGCGGAGGAAAAGAAACCAACAGGGAUUGCCUCAGUAGCGGCGAGUGAAGCGGCAAGAGCUCAGAUUUGAAAUCGUGCUUUGCGGCACGAGUUGUAGAUUGCAGGUUGGAGUCUGUGUGGAAGGCGGUGUCCAAGUCCCUUGGAACAGGGCGCCCAGGAGGGUGAGAGCCCCGUGGGAUGCCGGCGGAAGCAGUGAGGCCCUUCUGACGAGUCGAGUUGUUUGGGAAUUA